rnacentral:rRNA from 1 species
UGCAAGUCGAGCGGACAGAUGGGAGCUUGCUCCCUGAUGUUAGCGGCGGACGGGUGAGUAACACGUGGGUAACCUGCCUGUAAGACUGGGAUAACUCCGGGAAACCGGGGCUAAUACCGGAUGGUUGUUUGAACCGCAUGGUUCAAACAUAAAAGGUGGCUUCGGCUACCACUUACAGAUGGACCCGCGGCGCAUUAGCUAGUUGGUGAGGUAACGGCUCACCAAGGCAACGAUGCGUAGCCGACCUGAGAGGGUGAUCGGCCACACUGGGACUGAGACACGGCCCAGACUCCUACGGGAGGCAGCAGUAGGGAAUCUUCCGCAAUGGACGAAAGUCUGACGGAGCAACGCCGCGUGAGUGAUGAAGGUUUUCGGAUCGUAAAGCUCUGUUGUUAGGGAAGAACAAGUACCGUUCGAAUAGGGCGGUACCUUGACGGUACCUAACCAGAAAGCCACGGCUAACUACGUGCCAGCAGCCGCGGUAAUACGUAGGUGGCAAGCGUUGUCCGGAAUUAUUGGGCGUAAAGGGCUCGCAGGCGGUUUCUUAAGUCUGAUGUGAAAGCCCCCGGCUCAACCGGGGAGGGUCAUUGGAAACUGGGGAACUUGAGUGCAGAAGAGGAGAGUGGAAUUCCACGUGUAGCGGUGAAAUGCGUAGAGAUGUGGAGGAACACCAGUGGCGAAGGCGACUCUCUGGUCUGUAACUGACGCUGAGGAGCGAAAGCGUGGGGAGCGAACAGGAUUAGAUACCCUGGUAGUCCACGCCGUAAACGAUGAGUGCUAAGUGUUAGGGGGUUUCCGCCCCUUAGUGCUGCAGCUAACGCAUUAAGCACUCCGCCUGGGGAGUACGGUCGCAAGACUG